UACAAACGCUUAUGCUCUGUUAUGUUCAUAUCGAAAAUCCAACGAAACUUAAUACAUUUUAUCCACUUUAUGUCCCGCACUCAUCACACUCGAACUUCUGUAUUUAAGAAAUGAAGAAGAAAGUCGAAAAGUUAUUUUCUCCAAUCUACUGAUCAAACGAUUGACCAUACAGGAGGGAUAUAUGAAAGCGAUUGAGCUAUUUCAUUUCGCCUCCCUUCCGCAAUUGCGUGAGAUGAGAUUGGGUAAUACUCUAUUGCAUGGUGAUAACGGUCCAUACGGCACUAGUCUCGACUCUAUACGGAUUUUAAAACUCGACGCUUACUUCAACGUAACCGUGUUAAAACUCGUUCCCAAUUUGAUCCAGCUUCAUCUUAAAGGUCCCCGUUCGGAGGAAACAAUUCAAGCGGUAAGAAAACUACUACCGCAUUGUGCAAUUAUUUUCAAGAAGAAAUUGCGCAUCGUAGAGAGCAAGCAUUAUCGUAAGGCCUGGUGAAAUGAAUCAUAAAAUUUGGACAUGUUGAACGUGAAAAAUGAAUUACCUGAAGCUAAUUCCGA